UACGUAGGCAGCAAACGUUGUUCGGAGUUACUGGGCGUAAAGAGUACGUAGGCGGUUUGCCAAGUUUGGUGUGAAAUCUCCUGGCUUAACUGGGAGGGUGCGCCGAAUACUGGCGGGCUUGAGUAUUGGAGAGGAAAGCGGAAUUCCUGGUGUAGCGGUGAAAUGCGUAGAUAUCAGGAGGAACACCGGUGGUGUAGACGGCUUUCUGGACAAUCACCGACGCUGAGGUACGAAAGCGUGGGUAGCAAACAGG
rnacentral:rRNA from 1 species